rnacentral:rRNA from 1 species
AUUGAACGCUGGCGGCAGGCCUAACACAUGCAAGUCGAACGAGUGGCGGACGGGUGAGUAAUGUCUGGGAAACUGCCCGAUGGAGGGGGAUAACUACUGGAAACGGUAGCUAAUACCGCAUACCAUCGGAUGUGCCCAGAUGGGAUUAGCUUGUAGGUGAGGUAACGGAGCACCUAGGCGACGAUCCCUAGCUGGUCUGAGAGGAUGACCAGGCACACGGGAACUGAGACACGGUCCAGACUCGUACGGGAGGCAUCAGUGGGGAAUAGGGCACAAGGGGCGCAAGCCUGAUGCAGCCAUGGCGCGUGUAUGAAGAAGGCCUUCGGGUUGUAAAGUACUGUCAGCGGGGAGGCGUUACCCGCAGAAGAAGCACCGGCUAACUCAGUGCCAGCAGCCGCGGUAAUAC